GCGGGUAGCUCAGAUGGUAGAAUAGCCGACACGUCAUCGGAAAGUUCUGGGUUCAAAUCUCAGUCCGAGUCA
rnacentral:tRNA from 1 species